UCUGUGGAGAGUAUAGGAAAAUGUGAGUAGUAUUUUAGAUACGAAAGCAUACUUGAUGAAGCAGAAA
rnacentral:ncRNA from 12 species